rnacentral:miRNA from 1 species
CUGGACCCAUCUCUUACACAGGCUGACCGAUUUCUCCUGGUGUUCAGAGUCUGUUUUUGUCUAGCGCCACUUGAAAUCGGUUGUGAUGUAGGGGGAAAAGCAGCAG